GGCCUCAUCGUCUAACGGUUAGGACAACGGGUUCUCAAUCCGUCAAUCGGGGUUCGAUCCCCCGUGAGGUCACCG
rnacentral:tRNA from 2 species